rnacentral:lncRNA from 1 species
CCCCAAAACGGGGGUCCCCUCGUUCCCGAGAAUAAAGUAACUGAACGUAAAUGGCUCUCCGACCACGGAUUCCAACGGGCGAGGGAGGGAGAGGGGGAAGGGCGGGGGAAAGGAAAAAGAGGGAACAUCUCGAGCAUCACGGGAGUCGUAGGCCGCUUGGAUUGUGGGAAACGUAGUCUCCCGAGGCGGCCUUCCGCUUUAGCUUCUUCCCUGUCAUGGCUGCUUCCCGUCCGUGAACAUCGGAGGCCUGAGCCCGGGGAGUGUUGGCUGCUUUCGCCCCUGCCGCCGCGCUGGGUGCUCCCAGAGAAAGGCUUUGCAAAUGGAUGGAAUGAGAAGACACUCUCUGAAGAAACUGGAAGUGCAGCUUCUCUCAGAAUCAUAGCUCUAGAAGGAUCCUCAGAAGUCCUUUGA